UACGAAGGGGACUAGCGUUGUUCGGAUUUACUGGGCGUAAAGCGCACGUAGGCGGUCUUUUAAGUCAGGGGGGAAAUCCUGGAGCUCAACUCCAGAACUGCCUUUGAUACUGGGAGACUUGAGUCCGGGAGAGGUGAGUGGAACUGCGAGUGUAGAGGUGAAAUUCGUAGAUAUUCGCAAGAACACCAGUGGCGAAGGCGGCUCACUGGCCCGGUACUGACGCUGAGGUGCGAAAGCGUGGGGAGCAAACAGG
rnacentral:rRNA from 1 species